rnacentral:rRNA from 1 species
AGUCGAGGGGCAGCAUCAUCAAAGCUUGCUUUGAUGGAUGGCGACCGGCGCACGGGUGAGUAACACGUAUCCAACCUGCCGACAACACUGGGAUAGCCUUUCGAAAGAAAGAUUAAUACCGGAUGGCAUAGUUUUCCCGCAUGGGAUAAUUAUUAAAGAAUUUCGGUUGUCGAUGGGGAUGCGUUCCAUUAGGCAGUUGGCGGGGUAACGGCCCACCAAACCUACGAUGGAUAGGGGUUCUGAGAGGAAGGUCCCCCACAUUGGAACUGAGACACGGUCCAAACUCCUACGGGAGGCAGCAGUGAGGAAUAUUGGUCAAUGGACGAGAGUCUGAACCAGCCAAGUAGCGUGAAGGAUGACUGCCCUAUGGGUUGUAAACUUCUUUUAUACGGGAAUAAAGUGAGCCACGUGUGGCUUUUUGUAUGUACCGUAUGAAUAAGGAUCGGCUAACUCCGUGCCAGCAGCCGCGGUAAUACGGAGGAUCCGAGCGUUAUCCGGAUUUAUUGGGUUUAAAGGGAGCGUAGGCGGGUUGUUAAGUCAGUUGUGAAAGUUUGCGGCUCAACCGUAAAAUUGCAGUUGAUACUGGCGACCUUGAGUGCAACAGAGGUAGGCGGAAUUCGUGGUGUAGCGGUGAAAUGCUUAGAUAUCACGAAGAACUCCGAUUGCGAAGGCAGCUUACUGGAUUGUAACUGACGCUGAUGCUCGAAAGUGUGGGUAUCAAACAGGAUUAGAUACCCUGGUAGUCCACACAGUAAACGAUGAAUACUCGCUGUUGGCGAUAUACAGUCAGCGGCCAAGCGAAAGCAUUAAGUAUUCCACCUGGGG